rnacentral:lncRNA from 1 species
CAAAGGCAGUUUAGAAGGGAGUGUUAGAAGCUAAACAACUUCUGAAGUCGAAGGAUCAAAGGCAGCAUGGAGCUCCCGAGCAUGACUUCUAUCUGCAUGAAGAAGAAAGAAGAAGAAAGGGUUUUAGCCUCCAACGGCUAUUUUUUCAGUUUAAAUGUAUGUGUAAGUGUGUGAGUGACAAAUGUACAUUCCAGAUUAGAUCACUUAAAACUCAAAUGAAGGGCUAGGAUUUAAUCUGGAGUAAGGAUAAAAGAGUUGUUCAAGUCUUUUGUCAAUCACUACCUUAAGCAAGCAGUCAUGGCAAUGCACCAUACCCUACAAGAUUUCCUCUACUUAAUGAAGUUAUGGCUGCUACAUUUCUUACACAGCCUUUGAAGCCGUCAAUCACAUGUCCAAAUCCUCUCCAUUCUCUGCUAUUCUAACGCUAAGAAACCGAUCCAAACUAUCAACCAAAACAUCUAAACAAACAAACUUUAUCAUGCUCAAGGUAAACAAUUUCAUUUCCCCCUUUUUAAAAUUUUUGAAUUACAAGAAAAGUUUGAAUUUGAGGUUCGGAUUCGAAGAUUACUGCUUCUUGUAGUUUUAAUUUUAUUUUCCAGUCCAAGAAAAUGUAGAAUUUGGAGAUUUUCUAAUUUGAUUGCAUCCCUCUUUUUCUUCAGUUAAAACCCUAGAGAUGAUUGCAAGCGAGGUGGAUAGUGAUGUGAGCGACAAAGGUGGGUAAUCUCUGCAAUUCUUGCCCUUUUAAUUUUGUAAUAAAAUUAGGAAUUGUUGCUACUGAACUGAGUUGUGCGGAUGAAGGAGAAAUGGAAAAUCCGGAGUUAUGCCCAAAAUGGAUAGCUUUGCUGACUAUGGAGAAAGCUUGCUUAUCUACUAUCUCUCUUGAAGGUCUGAGUCUGUUGAAGCUUAUGGUUUUCUGGUUAUGAUACAUAUUUUUAUGCAUUAUUUAGUCAGGAUCUCAAGCUUUUGGCCUGAACUUUCAGAAACCACUGGUGCAGUAAGGAAGUUGGGGGGCAACUUUAGGGAAAAAUUACGAGAGCGUAGAGGUCUUGAUGCUGUAUUUGAGGUGACCAUGGAUUGCCAUUCCAAUUUGGAGGUGUGAACCUGUAUGUUUGUUUGAUCUCACUGUGUGUUUCAUUAAAUGUUAAAAGAAUACCAAGGGACCGUAAUGCUUUAAAUAGUUAUGAGAGAUAUUUACUUCACUAUGCUACUCCAAGAAUAAUUUGUUGGUUCACUAUGUAAAUAAUAAAUUUCUGUGCAAAAAAUAAUGCAUGUGUUGGUAAAGAACCAAAAUGAUGGUGUGCAGCCUUAGUUGUAUCUAGAUUCACAAGUUUCUUCUGUUCUGUAACCUAUAUAUUUCUUCAGUUUAUGAGCAACACUGACUACACUUUGGUAGUUUUAUAGUAACAAAUGGGCAGUUAUCUAUUUGCCUUUGGAUAGCGUCAUCUUCUUUAUUGUUCGUUGUAGUUCCUGAUUUUCUUCUUGGAGUAAUAUGAGUGGUUUUGCAUGCGAACAGUAUCACUUCUCAGUCAUUGAUUUGUUUUCCUUACUUAUUAUGUGCACAUCAUACACAUUGAGUUAUGAUAACCAAAAUUCCUUAGACAUAGUAUAACUUUUUCAUUUAUAUACUUACCUUUUCCACGCUUUUCUUCUCCUUUUUUGACUUUACAAUGAAGUGAUUGAGCUUAAGGGCAACAUCCGAGUUUUCUGCACAUGUAGACCUUUGAAUCAAACUGAAAUUUCACGCGGAUCUGGUUUCGUUGUUGAAUUCGAAUCCUCCGUAGAUAAUGAGUUGCAGGUCAUUUGUUCUAAUCCUCGAAAAAGCAGUUCAAGUUUGACCAUGUCUUCAGACUUGAGGACAACGAAGGUAGUUGAGAACGCAUACCGAUUUUGUAAUUGCACUAUCUAAUACUCCACAGUUGAUUUUGUUAUGAUGGAUAACAGUGCUCAGUUUUUUUGUUGUUGAUAUUUUCGGCCUAUGGUCUGAUUGAAGUUGGAUUUGCUCGAGUUUACAGGUCUAUGUGUGCAGCAAGCAAAAUCCUUUCAUUCAUAUGAGCUUCUUGGCCUCUUUACCUUGGUCAGUUUUCUUAAAUUGAUUUCUUGAUUUCUGUUGUUGAACGUUUAUCUUAAAUUGAUUCCUUCCAGCUUAUUUCUGUCUGCAGCUUUUCUUUUGGCUCCAGAAUAACAUAUGGAGACAUAUCAUCUUUCUCUUCUCUCUCUAUCUGUCUUUCUCUCUGUAUGAGCGUUGUCUCUCUCUUUAGGAGCGCACCAUCAGGGGCCGUAAUUAAAUCUUAUCGUUUUGCUAUAUUUCUCUUACUUUUGAGUAUUAUGAGGAUGAGAUUUUAGACUCAUCAGCGACAAAAAAAAGUUGCUUUCAUUUUAUAGGAGUGAAAGAUUUGAUUUUUCAUGCACUUAUCUUUUAAUUUUAUUUGUUUAUUUAGUUUUCCCAAUAUUUUCAUGCACUGAACUUUUUUUUUUCAUGAGUUUUUAUUAAGCUUUGUGACUUUUUUUGUAUUGGUUGAUUUCUAAAUUACUAUAGUUAAGAAGAUUAGUGCAUUUAUAAUUUGCUGCUUAGCUUAACAUGAUCCUUCAAUAAAAUUUGGGUCUUAGUUAAAGUUAGGUCAUAUUUUUAAGAAAGGUAAAAACUAAGGAAAUUUUCUGCGUAAGUCCUGCUCAACUUUUGUUGGCAAAUUGGUCUUUGCCAAUAAAUGUUAUUUUUGGGUGCUAACUGUUUUGGUCUUUAUAAAUUCUGGUAGUGGUGAUUUCUUCUACACUUAUGAUGUGACAACGUUGUGUAAUGAUUGUAGGUUUUUGAAAAAUUUGAGCUUCACAAACUAUGGAAAAAGAAACAAGUUUUGCUGAAAUCAAUUUAAAGGCACAAUAACAAAGGUAUUAAAAAAAUCUCUUGGAUGAUGUAAUUUGGUUUGGAUUUGUAAUGUAUGCUUUUCAAUGUGGAUUAAUUGUUUAAAUAAUUUUAGAUUAUGUUGAUUGUCCAUCACCCUGUGUUGUUGUUGGACCAUGAGGUGGAGCUGGCGGUGAUCAUCUCUCAGAAACCUCACGAUGUUUCGCAGUCCACCGCCGUGGAUUACGUCAUGGGUAAAUUUGUAAUUUUUGUUACUGUUGUUUGUUAAUUAACCAUUUUUUUAAGGCUGCACCUUUUUGGUGAGCUAUCUGUUGUAUUAUAUCCUUUGUCUUUCUAUUUGGAGAUUCUUAUUUUAAUCCUACCAUAAUAGGUUACUGUAAUUGACUUUUGGAUUUGAUUCUUCACUGGUGAGAUGUUGUGGGGGCGUCAUUUGGGGGAGAUAGGGGAGGGGGUUGGUUGCCAAGAGAGGGUGAGGGCGGGUGCAUGAUUAGGGGGACAGAAAGAGAGUUGAUUGGGUGCACGGUUUGAGGGUAGGGUUGAGAGAACGAGUGUGUUGGCUGCAGAGAGAGGAUGCGGUUGAGGGAUUUUAUCUCUCCCUCUCGGUCACAUCUCUUCUUGCAUUUACCCUUUCCUUCCAUUUGGGAUUGUGUUGGGGUUUUGUUUGUAGCCUGUGAUUCUACGUGUGUUUGUUUAAUGGGUUUUUUGUUUAAAUUUUUUGGUUGUGAUUUUGGGGAUUUUGUUUGUGGGUUCGGAUUCAGCUUUAGGAGGUCGUGGUUUUUCAGAUUUGGGACUUUUCUUUGCAUUCUACGAAGCCCUCUAUAUUUAAGGUGACCAGUUUCAAAAUUCCAGAGUUUUGAUAUAGAGUGUUUGGUUUUUUUAUUAUAUUAGACUUGAAUUUGGUUUUUUGUUGUUUUAUUUUAUUGAAAUCACAGUUUGGGUUUAGACUUUUGUUUGGGUUUGAGUAUAAUUUUCUGUGCUGUUAAAUUUGAUAACUCUAAAAUUGAUUAUUGGUUUGGUUUGAUAGGUGAGGCAGAUAUAGGGGGAGAGGGAAAUUGUGGUUUCAGCACUCUCACUUCUGUUCUUGGAAGGUACUUCUUUAUAGAAGUUUCUAUGUUGAAUUCACUUUGUUUCACCUUGAAUCGUUGUCAAGGGACUGGUUGGGGAACUUUGUGGUGCACGAGGAAGUUCUUCGGGUUAUUCAAAUGUUCGGUGGUUAACUUUCCGUUUGGAGAUUCUAGAAAAUAAGUUGUAGUCAUGAAUUUUCAGUUUCAUUUAAAAUGGUGUACAACGACAUCAUAAUUCCGUGUAAAGUUUUUUGUUUUUGGGUUAGGCACUUAUAUGGUAAUGCCUCUGUUCUCUACCUCCUCCUCUGAUUCUUUUUUUUUUCUUCUUCUUCUCUUUGUGCAACUUCCAAAUUAGGUGGAAUCGGUGGAGCUUCCCACUCACCUAGGCAUCUUUCCUUUCUGAAACAAGGUCCUUCUACCCUGCGCCUUCUUCAAAUUCACUACACUUCACCCAACAGGUACCUUUAAGCCUUAAAAUUUGUCUUUUGGUUAAUUGUUUUUUCUAUUUGAAUCCCAAGAAAACUUUGUAUGUACCUUAAUCAGUAGCUGUUUUAGCUCAGCACAAACUUUAUAGGUCUGCAGUUACUUUGCUUGUUUGGAAAUUAUGUUCCUUUUUAUGCUCUUUGUUACCCAAACUGUGUCGUUUAUUUUUUGCUGGAAAUUUUUUGCAUAUUUUGUUCUUCAAUUUUGCCAGAGUUAAUUUCAAAUGCCAACUUUCCUUUUUCCUUUUUCUAGGUAAUUGAUCAUUAUGCGGUUUGUAAGUUGGAUUUUUCUAACUGGUGGAUUAUCAAAUUGAUAAAAUUGGGGAAUUUGAUUAAGGUAGUGUCAAAUUGGUGGAGCAUGAAUUAUGGCAGCGGGAAGAGAAGGGUUUAAUUGGUAUUCUUCCCGUUCAAGAUGUUGCCGAGGCAACAACAGUGGACUCUUUGUUGUCUCAAGGUGAGAUGCCUAUGAUUAAGUGAAAGUGAAAUCUAAGAGGUUUUUUGUUGUUAUUGUUGGGAAUUUACCUAAUUUUAGGAAUGGGAAGUGAUUCUGGUGAACGAAGCUCUAGAGUUCAAGUUUGUACUCAUCUCUCAUUCUUUUUUUAUAGUUAGGUUGAAAAUCAUAUCGGUAGAUUCUUUAUUUAAUUGGUCCAAUUUGUAACACAUGAGAUUGUUUUGUUCGAUGUUUCAAUCAAAAUUUAAUUUUUUUUUGUGUGCAAUUAUAAUGGAAUUGCAAGUCAAGUGUAUCUUACAUUCUUGGUUGCAUACUCACCUUCCCACAACUAUUAUAUUGUCUCUUGACUGGAUGAAUUUUUAUAAUUUCCUGGAUCUACAAUUACAAUGCUUUUUAUAAUUUCCUAGAUCUAUCAUUUUUGUUCGUUCAUGAUUAUGUUGAAUGUUUUUCAGGUUAAAUGUAUCUUAUUCAUGUAGUUAAGACUGCUGCAUUCAAGUCGCGCAGCAUCGCGUGGGCAUAUUACUAGUGAAAUCUAAAAACAAAAACAAACCCACGAUUCAAUUUUCAAAGAUUCUUGAGCUAAAUUCAAAUUCCAAGAGUUUCAAAGACAAGAAAUGAAUGAAACCCUUAGCUCUUACCUCAAAAUCCAAACUUCCCCAGAAAUUUGUUGGGUGGAAAGCCAAAUUGAAGCUUCCUAAAGAGGUUUAACUCGACAUCUGCUAAAAAUUUGCAAUCAAUUGUCUCUUUUGGGGAAACUAAGAUGGGAAGAAGGGAAAGACAAGAAGGCAAAGGGAGAGAGAGAGAGAGGGAGUAAAAGAAUUGGGGAUUAAAGAGGGUCAUAGCAUCUGCAUGCGGCACGCCUGACUGCCUGGUACUUUAUUUUUUCUGCGGUGUAGAUGCCUUACUGUUGUAUUCAGGUGGGCUGGGCCCUGUGGAUUUGGGCUUCUUGUAGUUGUGAGUAAAGGUCUUAUCUUGAUUAGGGGUUUUCGUCGAUUUGUCUCCGAAUUUGUAUAGAGCUGUUAAUUUUUCUUCGAACUUUAAUUUUAGUGAUUUCCCACUGAACUUCUAUACUUGGCCAAUUUCCCCUUAGAACUUUUAACUUCAGGCAAUUACCCCCUAAAAUUUUAUAAAUAGCCAAUUUCUUCCCUAGCAUUAGAUUUUAAAAAUUUUCAUCCAAUUUUUCAUUAUUGGCCCAAUACAGUUGUCAUGUGCUGUCUCGUGAUAAAAAUAGAUGGAAAGUUGGAUGAAAUUUAUAAAGGGGAUAAUUAACUAUUUAUAAAAGUUCAGGGGGAUAAUCGGCUAAAAUUAAAGUUCAAGGGGGAAUUGACAGCUCUAUACAAGUUCGGGGAGCAAAUUGACAAAUAUGCCUUUGAUUUUUACCCAUUUUUGGUUUAAAAUUUUUCCCAACUUCAGAAAUUUGGAAAAAAUGUCAUUUUCUCAAGGUUUGGAAAAGAGAUGGCUUAACUAUGGGUUUUCUAGAUGUUAGUGCCAUGCCCCGAUCCUAACGUACGUCCAAGAUCGACACGUGACACCACCAAAUACCCAUAUAUCUAACUUACCUAGCCUCCGGCUAUGAACAAAGCACAACUCAAGUCCCAAUUUCAUAGUAAUUGUUCAUAUGCUUUAUGACUGCAUCUAACUUCCUUGUUAAAUUGCCUACAUACCCUGAAUAGGGAUCAAGCCAUUCGUAGUUCACAUUUUUAUUUAUUUAAUUUGUCUAUCCAAAAAGAAACCACAAUUACCAAUAUCACAGCCAAAAUUCCAUAACCUUAAAUUAGCAACCUAAUCGAUUUCUACUAAAAUUACUAAACGGGAUUUGAUUUCCAAAUUCGAUGUCCUAAACCCACAUUCACUAACGUAUAUAUUUUUAUUUUAUAAACUAGGUUAGAGUGUAAAAGACGUUCUCAAAGUGCUAAACACACUACUUUUAAUCAAACUACCAAUCUUUUCCUUUUCUUUUGGUGGUUUUCUUCAAGUUACCAAAAGUCAUGCCGCCAAGCUGUAAUAACAUUAAAUUCUAACUCUAAUAAACCUUGUUAGUCAUGAAGGUAGUAUGUAUAUUAAUUAUCAAUGAACCAUGCGAAAACUGAAUGCACUUCGCCAUAUUUUUCUUGACAUUACAUUAGUUUGUCAGAGAAUCGAUCAAUUAUUGGACUUACACAGGAUGAUCAAAUAUGAUAUAUAUCUCCUUCAUGUAAAUGGUAAAAGACUCUCAAACUUGCUAUGCAUAAUUGGAACGAACAACUGAAAAAUCAAACAAUUAAUUUCUAUAUACUCACGUCUAAGAAAGAAAACAACGAAAGGAAAAAUAGAAUGAUCACCAACCCAUAUAGUUGAAAUUGUCAGUAUCAAGUGAACUAUGCAAACAAAUGAUCAUCAUACUAAAAAUCUAAACCAAAUAAUAAAAUUUAUCAAUUAAUUUGAGAGGAAAGUAAAGGGAAAAGGAAGAAUUGCCUACCUCCUGAUUUUGGAGAGAAAGAAACGCAAUAGGGGGAGAGAGAGUAGCAAGCUAGAUUAAGGAACCCAGAACAAUGAUAUAGAGAUAUUUUUGUGGGAAGUUCUCUCUCCUUCUUGAUUCCUCCUCCUCCCUUUUCCCCCUUCUUUCCUUUAUUUUGUUUUCUUCCUCUUUCCCGAUCCUUCUCUGACACACCCUGACCCGGAAUGUCCACUAGGACUCCUAAUCAAGCUGCGCUGACUGACACCUAGAAGGUGACGAAGCCAUAAAGUGAUGAUGUGGAAAAAUGUGAAUAAAUUUAAACCUAAGAGUGCCCAAAGUGCGCUGGUGAGCGGGAAUGAACCCACUUCACACGUAACGUUAGAGCAUAAGUAAGUACAGUAGAGUGAAUUAAAAAUCGUACUCUCGAAAGAAUCUCCAAUAAUAAGAAUCGCCACAAAUCUUCGAUGAUAAGAAAGUUCAGCUAAUAAAACCUGGAGGGUGAAAACAAAACAAGGGUGAGUGACCCUAGAAAUAAAAUUUUAAUAGAAACCAUAUAAAACAUUAUAACCACUACUAGCAUGCAAGUCGGGAAGAUCCGUAUAUUGAAUUCCCAAUUUGUAAGUUCCUAUGAUCCUUAAAUAUUAUGUACUAUAACGUAUUAAAGUUUGGUGACGAUCCAACGGUCAGAUCGUCGAUUCAUACAAUGACCUAUUAACGUAACGUAGAUAAUUUAGAUCCCAACAAUCAACCCGUGUCAUACAAUUACAAAAACUGAACUCAAGGCAUCUAAUUAGCCUAAGAAUAACAUCAAUGCCCCCUGGCCACGCGCCACCGCACACACCGCUGUGGGUGGCGGUCGGCCGCCCCGACUCGCCGGAAAAUCCAACUAUUUCCAAAAAUUACCACAAUUUACAUAAAUGAAGAUCUCAUUGAGUGGAACAACUUUUAUACCUGUGACGAAGUCCAAAAGUGGAUGGAAGAUGGUCAAUUUUUCCCAUGAAGCUGGCGGGUGCCUAAAACUUCCCGAUGUCGAUUUGUCGUCUACAGUGGUCCAAUGGGGUCAAGGUUGGUUGGGUUUUGCUCCUGGGAUGAUGGGCUACAAAGCCCAAGUGGUGGCAUCGGCCAUCGCUUUGCCGAUUUGCGGGAAAAAUAAAAAAGGGUGGCCGGAGCACCGUGAGAACCGUCAACUUUCGUGGCCUCAAACCGCCACAUACAGAGGAUAAUCAAGGUGGUUCUUGGGUGGGUUUUGUAGAGGGGAAUGAGAGCUUCAAGAUGGCAGUGGUGGUGUCGAAUAAUUCCACCGUAGUUGGCUGGAAUCAGCCUUGGAAGUUGGGUGGUCAUGGUGGUGGCGUGCACGGGAAAGUUGGGAUCUUUCUCCUUUUUUUUUUCCUCUGAUUUCUGAUUGGG